GAACAACAAAGUUAACCGUGUUCUUGAUCUCAUUAUUACCAAGAGGAGGUGCUGCCUCUUUCUCAUUCACAUUAAUAAUGCCUGGAAUAGAAUGUUUUCUCGGUCUCCCUCUGGACUUUCUAAGAGAUGAUAUUCUAUCAUCAUUUGAACAUGUCCUUGUACUCUUUACUGGAGACCUUGUAAGAUUUUGUAGAGAUACAUCAUUCAGACCAUUAAGAUCAACUGCACUCUGCAUCAACUUCUCAGAUCUUCCUUGAGGCCUUGUUGGACUAAACUCUUCAUCGCUUGAAGAAGCUGGUCUUUUCCUUGGUCUCCCUCGAGGUCUUGGAGUGGUUGAUUUUUC
rnacentral:lncRNA from 1 species